rnacentral:rRNA from 1 species
GACGAACGCUGGCGGCGUGCUUAACACAUGCAAGUCGAACGGAAAGGCCCUGCCUUUGUGGGGUGCUCGAGUGGCGAACGGGUGAGUAACACGUGAGUAACCUGCCCUUGACUUUGGGAUAACUUCAGGAAACUGGGGCUAAUACCGCAAAGGAGCUCCUGCUGCAUGGUGGGGGUUGGAAAGUUUCGGCGGUUGGGGAUGGACUCGCGGCUUAUCAGCUUGUUGGUUGGGUAGUGGCUUACCAAGGCUUUGACCGGUAGCCGGCCUGAGCGGGUGACCGGCCACAUUGGGCCUGAGAUACGGCCCGGACUCCUCCGGGAGGCAGCGGUGGAGAAUAUUGCACAGUGGGCGGAAGCCUGAUGCGGCAACGCCGCGUGCGGGGUGACGGCCUUCGGGUUGUGAACCGCUUUCGCCUGUGACGAAGCGUGAGUGACGGUACUGGGUAAAGAAGCACCGGCUAACUACGUG